rnacentral:rRNA from 1 species
CUGCUAUCGGGGUGGGACUUAAACUUGCCAGUCGAACGACUUUCAGCCAUGAAAAAGUCGUGGCGAACGGCUCAUUAACACGUGGCUAACCUACCCUUGAAACGGAAACACCCCCGGGAAACUGGGGCUAACCCCAAAUAGAUGAAAACUCCUGGAAUGGAUUCUCGUCCAAAAGGCGUUAAGGUCAUGCUCCCUAACGUCGCUCAAGGAUGGGGCCGCGGCCAAUCAGGCUGUUGGUGAGGCAACGGCUCACCAAACCUAUAACCGGUACGGGCCGGGGGAGCGGGAGCCCGGAGAUGGGAACUGAAACAAGGUCCCAGGCCCUACGGGGCGCAGCAGUUACGAAAACUUGUCAAUGCACGAAAGUGUGAACGGCCUACCCCGAGUGCCGUCCGCUGAGGAUGGUUUUUCUCUGCUGUAAAAAGGCGGAGGAAUAAGGAGAGGGCAAGUCUGGUGUCAGCCGCCGCGGUAAUACCAGCUCUCCGAGUGGUGGGGAUGUUUAUUGGGUUUAAAGCGUCCGUAGCCGGCCUCUCAAGUCUCUCGUUAAAUCCAGCGAUUCAAUCGUUGGACUGCGGAAGAUACUGUCAGGCUAGGGGGCGGGAGAAGCCAACGGUAUUUCCGGGGUAGGGGUAAAAUCCUAUAAUCCCGGGAAGACCACCAGUGGCGAAGGCGGUCGGCUAGCACGCUCUCGACGGUGAGGGACAAAAGCUGGGGGGAGCGAACCGGAUUAGAUACCCGGGUAGUCCCAGCUGUAAACGAUGCGGGCUAGGUGUUGAAGCGGCUACGACCCGCUUCAGUGCCGCGGGGAACCAUUACCCCGCCGCCUGGGGGAGUCCGGCCGCAAGGCUGAAACUUAAAGGAAUUGGGGGGGGAAGCACCAAAGGGGGGGAAGCUUGCGGUUUUAUU